GCGAUGGCGGCGUCCAUUCCGAAACUGUUCGAAGUACGGAAGAGCGGCUAGUGGGGUCCUGAAAUUCAAUUUUCUCUACCCAUGGUAACUUCUAACGUCUAAGAAAUUUUUAAAAUGAAGUAAGACUAACGCCUGAAAGCCACAGAGAGUUGAGAAGUACAAUCGACUUUGCUAAAUGCUGAAAAAGUAUGCUCGCUUCACACACGACGACGUCAUUUCGAAAUGUUCAGUUGUGUUACAGAGCAUACAGCAGGAUACAUAAAGUUGGACCAGUACAGCAGAUAAUAGAAGAAAAGCUUACUGCGGCAUUGCACCCCACUCAUCUCAGCGUUGAAAAUGAAAGCAUCGCCCAUAAUGUGCCAAAGGGCUCCGAGACCCACUUUAGGGUGACCAUAGAGUCCGAUGCCUUCGAAGGAAAGAAGCUUGUUGAGCAACACAGACUCGUUUAUAAGGCUUUAGAAGAGGAAAUGAAGGAUAAGAUUCGUGCACUAGCAAUUGAGACUCUGAAACCUUUACGCUGGAGCGGCGGUCCAAGUGUGAAAUCUCCGCCUUGCUUGGGAGGCAUGAAGAAUGAGCAGUCCGAGAAGAACAGCUAGGACGCUUUUUCUCGAGCGUUUUAAUGGAAUGCUUUAUUAUAGCCAUAUUGCCUCAGAACAUCAGUUCUCUCACGUUUAAAAUACACGCGGAAGAGAAAACAACAAGACCUCUGCGUCUCCUUCAACAAAAGUCGUGGGAGAGAGUCUUUCCUCGUAUCGAAGCAGCGAAAGUUCUCAUCUGGGCCAUACCUACUGCCACGCGAGGGGGAGGACAUCGUGUAAUGCCAUGGGACGAUCUCCCCCCUCUCUUUCACAAUGAUAAGCUUGUACCUGCAACGGGGAUAUUCUGCCCCCUCUGCUCGAGAGACCCCCCGCUGGUACGGCACCGCGGAGGACGGACGGACUCUCCGAC